rnacentral:rRNA from 1 species
UACAGAGGAGCCAAGCGUUGUCCGGAUUGACUGGGCGUAAAGCGCACGCAGGCGGAUACGCGCGUGGGGUGUGAAAUCUGGCCGCUUAACGGCCAGGCGCCAUCCCAUACGGCGUGUCUGGAGCUGUGCAGAGGUCGGGUGGAAAUUGCCGGUGUAGUGGUGAAAUGCGUAGAGAUCGGCAGGAACACCCAGGGGGAAACCAGCCGACUGGGCACAUGCUGACGCUGAGGCGCGAAAGCGUGGGGAGCGAUCCGG